rnacentral:rRNA from 1 species
ACGAACGCUGGCGGCGUGCUUAACACAUGCAAGUCGAGCGGUAAGGCCCUUUCGGGGGUACACGAGCGGCGAACGGGUGAGUAACACGUGGGUGACCUGCCCUCAGCUCUGGGAUAAGCCUGGGAAACCGGGUCUAAUACCGGAUAUGACUCCAUGACGCAUGUUGUGGGGUGGAAAGCCUUGUGCGGCUGAGGAUGGGCCCGCGGCCUAUCAGCUUGUUGGUGGGGUGAUGGCCUACCAAGGCGACGACGGGUAGCCGGCCUGAGAGGGCGACCGGCCACACUGGGACUGAGACACGGCCCAGACUCCUACGGGAGGCAGCAGUGGGGAAUCUUGGACAAUGGGCGCAAGCCUGAUCCAGCCAUGCCGCGUGGGUGAAGAAGGCCU